rnacentral:rRNA from 1 species
AGUUCGAUUCUGGCUCAGAUUGAACGCUGGCGGGAUGCUUUACACAUGCAAGUCGAACGGCAGCACGGACUUCGGUCUGGUGGCGAGUGGCGAACGGGUGAGUAAUGUAUCGGAACGUACCUAGUAGCGGGGAUAACUACGCGAAAGCGUAGCUAAUACCACAUACGCCCUUCGGGGAAAGCAGGGGACCUUCGGGCCUCGCACUGCUAGAGCAGCCGAUAUCGGAUUAGCUAGUUGGUGGGGUAACGGCUCACCAAGGCGACGAUCCGUAGCUGGUUUGAGAGGACGACCAGCCACACUGGGACUGAGACACGGCCCAGACUCCUACGGGAGGCAGCAGUGAAAUUUUGGACAAUGGGGAAACCCUGAUCAGCCAUCCCACGUGUGCGAUGAAGGCCUUCGGGUUGUAAAGCACUUUUGGCAGGAAAGAAACAGCACGGGAUAAUACCCCGUGCAACUGACGUACCUGCAGAAUAAGCACCGGCUUAACUACGUACCAGCAGCCGCAGUAAUACGUAAGUGCAAGCGUUAAUCGGAAUUACUGGGCGUAAAGCGUGCGCAGGCGGUUCCGGAAAGAAGAUGUGGCGAAAUCCCCAGAGCCCAACUUUGGAACUGCAUUUUUAACUACCGAGCUAGAGUGUGUGUCAGAGGAGGUGGGAAUUCCGCGUGUAGCAGUGAAAUGCGUAGAUAUGCGGAGGAACACCGAUGGCGAAGGCAGCCUCCUGGGAUAACACUGACGCUUUCAUGCACGAAAGCGUGGGGGAGCAAACAGGAUUGAUGCCCUGGUAGUCCACGCCUAAACGAUGUCAACAUAAGCUGUUUGGGGCCUUCGGGCCUUGGUAGCGCAGCUAACGCGUGAAGUUGACCGCCUGGGAGGUACGGUCGCAAGAUUAAAACUCAAAGGAAUUGACGGGGACCCGCACAGCGGUGGAUGAUGCCAGGAUUAAUUCGAUGCAACGCGAAAAACCUUACCUACCCUUGACAUGUCUGGAAUCCCGAAGAGAUUUAGGAGUGCUCGCAAGAGAACCGGAACACAGGUGCUGCAUGGCUGUCGUCAGCUCGUGUCGUGAGAUGUUGGGUUAAGUCCCGCAACGAGCGCAACCCUUGUCAUUGGAUUGCUACGAAAGGGCACUCUAAUGAGACUGCCGGUGACAAACCGGAGGAAGGUGGGGAUGACGUCAAGUCCUCAUGGCCCUUAUGGGUAGGGGCUUCACACGUCAUACAAUGGUCGGGACAGAGGGUCGCCAACCCGCGAGGGAGCCAAUCCCAGAAACCCGAUCGUAGUCCCGGAUCGCAGUCACCGCAACUCGACUGCGUGAAGUCGGAAUCGCUAGUAAUCGCGGAUCAGCAUGUCGCGGUGAAUACGUUCCCAGGUCUUGUACACACCGCCCGUCACACCAUGGGAGUGGGUUUUACCAGAAGUAGUUAGCCUAACCGUAAGGGAGGGCGUUACCACGGUAAGUUCUUGACUGGGGUGAAGUCGUAACAAGGCG